UGGGAGUUAGCUUAAUGGUAAAGCAUUGGACCUUGGACCCGACAAUGUGGGUUCGAUUCCCACACUCCUAC
rnacentral:tRNA from 1 species